rnacentral:rRNA from 1 species
GACGAACGCUGGCGGCGUGCUUAACACAUGCAAGUCGAACGGAAAGGCCCUGCUUUUGUGGGGUGCUCGAGUGGCGAACGGGUGAGUAACACGUGAGUAACCUGCCCUUGACUUUGGGAUAACUUCAGGAAACUGGGGCUAAUACCGGAUAGGAGCUCCUGCUGCAUGGUGGGGGUUGGAAAGUUUCGGCGGUUGGGGAUGGACUCGCGGCUUAUCAGCUUGUUGGUGGGGUAGUGGCUUGCCAAGGCUUUGACGGGUAGCCGGCCUGAGAGGGUGACCGGCCACAUUGGGACUGAGAGACGGCCCAGACUCCUACGGGAGGCAGCAGUGGGGAAUAUUGCACAAUGGGCGGAAGCCUGAUGCAGCAACGCCGCGUGCGGGAUGACGGCCUUCGGGUUGUAAACCGCUUUCGCCUGUGACGAAGCGUGAGUGACGGGAAUGGGUAAAGAAGCACCGGCGAACUACGU